UACGGAGGGCGCAAGCGUUGUUCGGAAUUACUGGGCGUAAAGCGCGUGUAGGCGGCCGGGUAAGUCGGAUGUGAAAGCCCGGGGCCCAACCCCGGAACUGCACCCGAUACUGCCCGGCUGGAGUCCCGGAGAGGAUGGCGGAAUUUCCGGUGUAGAGGUGAAAUUCGUAGAGAUCGGAAGGAACACCAGUGGCGAAGGCGGCCAUCUGGACGGUGACUGACGAUGAGACGCGAAAGAGUGGGGAGCAAACAGG
rnacentral:rRNA from 1 species